UACAUGGGGUGCAAACGUUGCUCGGAAUUAUUGGACGUAAAGCGCACGUAGGCGGUUUGUUAAGUCGGAUGUGAAAUCCCUCGGCUCAACUGAGGAAGUGCAUCCGAAACUGGCAAGCUUGAGUACGAAAGAGGGUCGCGGAAUUCCCGGUGUAGAGGUGAAAUUCGUAGAUAUCGGGAGGAACACCGGUGGCGAAGGCGGCGACCUGGGUCGAUACUGACGCUGAGGUGCGAAAGCGUGGGGAGCAAACAGG
rnacentral:rRNA from 1 species